UGCGGAUGUUGGCCGUAGCUGUGUCUGGUUUUGGAGUAAUCGUGGGAGUCAUCAUCAUGGGAGUGACAGCAGUCUGUCACAAAAGAAGAAGUGAAAAAAGUUUUCCCGAGAGAUCACAAGCCAGCAGUCCUGGCGACUUUCUGAGCAUGACUGAUAUUGACCGUGGAGGAUUGUUAUCUGCAGAUAAUACUGAAGCUUACAUCAGCUUUGUCCCUGCUGCUGAUCGUCCUACUGGGUCUGAGCGAGUGACUGGACAGGAGUCUCAAAGUGAGAAUGUA